rnacentral:pre_miRNA from 2 species
ACCGCGUACUUACCUACUGUAUAGUAGCUGAUAUACAUGUAUUUUGUCUACUAUAGGCCUAUAGUAGGCGAGUACACGGUUU